UUAAAAAUACACGAGUGUUCACCCCUGAUGUAGGUGGGCUGAGAUGACGCAAAACAUGGUGCGUCGAAUCGUUGAACCUGAUCCGGGUCAUACCGGCGCUAGGAAGAAAGAGAUCAUGAACA
rnacentral:ncRNA from 2 species